GAGGCACAUGCAUGUGAAUACAGGGACUUGCAGAGGGUAGAAGGUUAUGAUAUAUCUCAGGUGGAGUCACUGCUGAUUUUUAGUCUCCAGACAUGGGUGCUGGAAACUGAACUCAAAUCCUCUGGAACAACAGCAAGUUCUCUUAAUCACUGAGCCAUCUCUCCAGCACCAUGUCCCAUUCAUCAUAAUGAGAAACUUUUAGUAAUCAGUAUUGCAGAAAGUGCUCUAUUUAUUAUGUAUAGGUACAUUUCUUUGUUGAAUAAUCCUUAACAACAUUUCCUUUCCCAGAACUAUUUGGAAGAGGGAAUAAUGAGAUAUAGAACUAAAACUUCUGAGGAUCGUUACAUGAAAAGCAUUUUUAAAACUGACCAUCAAAGAAAUAUCAAAGUUUAAUGUUAAAAGACUGGAGAAACCCUGAACAAUGAAGAUGAAGGAAAAGGAUAUCAAUUCUUUGCAACAGUAACCCACGUAAGUGGUACCAACUCUGAUUUCCAGAAGAGCACAUCUACAAAUAGGGAGUGAAGCAAUCUACACCAUAAAUCCAAAGAAGACCCCAGGAAAGCACUGUUGGUAAGCUAUGCUGAAAUUUGUCACUGCCACUGGGACCGCUCCAAUCACUCUCUGUUUCACUCUUGGAUCUUCUCUAACUAGAUCAAGAAAUGUCUUCUGGUGAUGACUGACCUAGUGUAAACCACCAACCUUUCACAGAGGCAUACUUACUUGUGUCUUAGUAGUUAAUUUUCACAUUGUUUUGACAAAAUACCUCAAAGAAACAACUUCAGGGGAAAUAAUUUAUUUUGGCUCAUAGUUUUAGAAGGUCCAUUGUCACUUGGCUCAAUGUUUUGGGGUCACUCUUAGACAGAAUAUGUGUGGCAGAUACGUCAAGACAGGAAGCAGAAAGAAAAAUGAACAUGAGUUAGGGACAGCAUGCCCUUGAGAUCUGCCCACAUUGUCCUGUUGCCUCUAGCUAGACUUAACACUCUAGUUUCCUCAGCCUCUCAGAACAGCACCAACACUUGGAAACAUGUGAAUAAUACAUGUCCUUGGAACUGGACAGUGACAGGUCCUCAAGUAACAUUAAUGCAUAGUUAAAGGAAGAAGUGGCCAUUGUGAAGAAAAAUUUCUGCUGACAAAGAAUGGGGACCAAGUAGACACAGAUGCUUAGGCCUAAUAUGAGAGAGAAAAAUGCUAUCAAAUUAUUUAGAAAUGAUUGAGAAAACCAUACUCCACUGACAAAUUAUCUUGGUAAAAUAGUUUAUAAUACGUAAAAGACUCAACAACCAGGGGCCAAAGAAAUUACCUUAAAGAAAAGUUUCAAAAAACUGCAUUCUGAAGGGAAAGGAAGAUGGAGCAGGUAGCUAGGAUUAAAUUUGUAUCAAGGAUAUUUUAAAACAGUUUUUGAUGAGAGAAGUGCAGACAUACAUAGGUAGCUAAUGACAGGAAGAGAUCAGUAGAGAGCCAAAGAAUGAAGAUAGAGAGUCCACCUACAAGGUUAUGAUUACUGUUGGAGCAAAAAGAUUUAAGUUAGGAACAGUAAAACAUAAGACUCUACUUACUUGGGAUUAUGGUGAAGUAGUGAUAGAAACAGCGCCAGUUUAUUCUUCUUGCCUGUAGUGCUCAAGUAGUUGAGUAUCUAAGAGCAAUGUGUCUAAUUUAAGUCAAACCUUAGUCUGAAGAUGGGCAUAUCCUAACUUUACAUAAUUUUAGAAAUAGGACCUUUAAAAACAUGUUUAAAAAUAAAAGGUAUUUUUCCUAAGUCUCAGGUGCUUUAAAUUGCAUAAUCAAUAAGGAAAUAAUUCUUAUACUGAUUGUGUGAAGUUGGAGUGAUCAUUGGGUACUAGAAGUCAUGUGGUCACACUAUCAAUGAA